CCGCGAGCUUGGGGCGCGACCUGACGCCGGCGCCCCGGGACCCCGCGCCAGCCCGCCGCCUGCCCGCCGCGCAGCCCGAGAUACCGGGAAAAUUGAGGUUAUGAAGCAGAAGAGAGAAAUUUCAGAGAAGCCAAACAUAAUUCAUAUCAUCCAAGAGUGAGCAGAAGUCAUUGGGAGUACUGAGGAAGAAGCAAUUAACUAUGGGAGGAUCCAGCACCUAUCAAAUUUUUGAGACAGCUCAGUUCUUAGAGGAAGGCUCAUCUAAAUAAAGGCCAGCUAGUGACAUUGCAGGGAUUUGGUCUUUCUCUGGCUGCCCAUGUGACCAAAGGCCAAUUUGGUCACAAAGAUUUUUCUUUCCUGGGCUCCAGAUUAUUACAUCUCCUGGUUCCUGUGCCCUGUGCCUUGACACCAAGUGAAACACAAAAUGAAGACUGUCCAAGAUAGCACCUGCUGCAGGGACUUGGGGACCUCCAAGGGGCCUUUACACAUCAGCAUGCAAGAUUCCCUGGCCACCAACUGAAAUAGCAAGCUGGGGCCUUUAUCCUGGGACCAGCCAUCUGCCACAGAG
ensembl:lncRNA